rnacentral:piRNA from 1 species
GCCAGGAGUGAGAGGAAGGUCAGCAGGC